AUGAUCUUGUUGCUUAAUACUUCACAUACUACUCACCUAUUGGAAUGUCGGUAAUAUGCUCGAUAAAAUGCCUAACAGAAGGCGUGCGCCGUUUUAUCUCUAAUUUUGAUCCCAUUCGAUUAUAAUUGUAAAAAAUUAUUUUAUAUAUGUAUUAAACCCUCUGUUUGAAUAUUAAAGUCUUUGUUUAUUAUUUAAAUUCCUGUUCAUGUUAUCUUCUUGGAAUAAUUUAAAUUCUUCAAAAACUCCUUCAUCCUUUUGAUCGCUAUUGGAGGUUCGUCGAAUUUAUUGUUCUAAAUCCUUUUGUGCCCCAUCCCGACCUAGUUGCAUAUAAUUAUAUUAUCCUUGCAUGUUCAUUUUAGUUAGCUUAUAGAGAAUCGCGUGUUUCUAUUUUAGAUUCCGACGAUCGAUUUUCUGCACAAUUUUGACUGGAUAUCUUUUAUCUUUGAAGCUGUGUUAAGGUAAGCGACCGAACACCCAUUAGUUUUUGUAAGAUAAUUUAGGAAAAUAUUUUGAUUGUAUGGAAAUCUUAUUUUGUAGAAUUUAAAAUUAAGGGUUAAGCAUAUUAUUAAAUAUCUCUGUAUAUUGAGUUUCAAUUGUGAUUGACAAGUUCGUUUAGCAAAAAGAAUUUUUGAAAUCUGAUAAUUUAUUCUGCAAAUUAGUGACUGGAUAUAUUUUGAAUUAUGAUGUCUCUUGGUAUUCUGCUAUGCAAUGUUGGCCAUUUCGACAUGUACUUUGUUAUAGAAGCAAGCUUCGUCUUUGUUUGCGCCUUCGGGUGCCUGCGCCUAUCCGCGCCUCUGUUUUGUUCGCGCCUUCGGGUGCCCGCGCCUAUCCGCGCCUCUGUUUUGUUUGCGCCUUCGGGUGCCUAUGCUUUGUUUACGCCUUCGGGUGUCUUUGGAUCUCGCCAACGGAUCAUAAGAUAUAGUUAAGUGCCGGAGACAAUAUUUAUUUUGUUUAUAUGUCGAAAGGGAAAUGCUUUGAAAAAUUAUAAUUUCAAUCCGAUCUGAAUUUGAAGUUUUGAUAAAUUCUUGUUUUCUUAAAUUUUGCAAAUUAAAACCAGUCGCUUGAAUUAAUUUGUGUAUCUAUUUAUUUGUAUGCUUAAUCCGACUAAUGUGGUGUAUGGUUGCUUACCCAGGUACUGAGACCGAUUCGCAGGGCGGGGCUGGGAGUGAGUGAACGUUAGAUCUGUCGCGAGAAGAUUCCAUCGACUUAUGGUAAGAGGAAAAUGAGGGCUAUGCUCUAGCAGGCAUCAACUUGCAACCUACAUCCUGCAGUGUCAUACUUUUACUUUCUUUGCAUUUUUUAAACAAACUUUAGAUUCAUUACGUAUUAAUUGCACAGAAAAACUGAAGUAUUGCUGUUUGUGUUCUAUGUUUGGUGGUGCGAGAAUGAAUUAAAGACUCUAUCGAUUUCUCUAUAUAUAUGAAUGUAACAAGACCAAGUAAACUGCCUAUGUAUUUGUAUUUUCUUUUUGUUCUCAGUGGUGUAUGAAUUAAAAGCCCUCCUAUUACUAUCGUCUAUCGAUUUCGUCCUUGUUAUGAAGGAUGGUUAAAGUUUUACUGCUUAA